rnacentral:misc_RNA from 1 species
GAUGAAGAACGUAGCGAAAUGCGAUAAGUAAUGUGAAUUGCAGAAUUCAGUGAAUCAUCGAAUCUUUGAACGCACAUUGCGCCCCCUGGUAUUCCGGGGGGCAUGCCUGUUCGAGCGUCAUUUCACCACUCAAGCCUCGCUUGGUAUUGGGCAACGCGGUCCGCCGCGUGCCUCAAAUCGUCCGGCUGGGUCUUCUGUCCCCUAAGCGUUGUGGAAACUAUUCGCUAAAGGGUGUUCGGGAGGCUACGCCGUAAAACAACCCCAUUUCUAAGGUUGACCUCGGAUCAGGUAGGGAUACCUGCUGAACUUAAGCAUAUCAAUAAGCGGAGGA